rnacentral:lncRNA from 1 species
GGGUCACCCUCGAGCUCUAGAUCUUUUUCCGGUGUCCGAGCUGCUGUAGCCCCUACGUGGUGAGUAGAUCGUCUCCACAGAAAUCAGCGGAGGCUUCCACAGUCCCUGGUUGGAAUGGAACCGGCGGUGAGGAUGAGAGGCGCUGAAGACCAGAAGACCCAGGGCGUGAACGGGGCGUGUCAUCCCUGGAGUUUCAGUAGAAUUUCAGGCCUGUCUGCUUGAGCAGCAGAGGAGGAGUUUCUGUGUGCCUGUGAGAGACUGUGUGUGUGUGUGUGUGUGUGUGUGUGUGUGAGAUGAAUGAACAGGGUUGUGUACGUGUGUGUGCGUUAGACAAAUGAACAGUGUUGUGUACCUGUGUGAAUUGUCACUGUGACUCCAGGCUCUAGGCUCUGCAGAUUCCUCAGCCCUAUCGCCUCACAGACACUUGGGAUGUGCAGCAGGUAAAAGAGAGAAGCCAGAUUCAUGGAGGCGUGAAGGAUCCCAGCAAGAAAACACAGACUUGAUCUUGAGACGAGAUUUUUGAAAUUGGUUGCGGCCUCAAGGCAGGCUCUGAGAAGACUCGAUAAAGAGUUCUCAGGAAUAGGCAUCCCUCCUGGAUAUUUCCCCCUUGGAAGCGCCGAGGAGCCAGCUCUAUGUUUGUAACCAUAGCAUUUCUAAAGCUCCAGCCCCAGGAACCUGCUGUGAAUUAGAGACAGAUUCCACCCUAGGCAUCACUGAUCUUGGCCUCUCUUGUAUUGGGAAGGUCAACACUGUUCCAGUUUCUCUCCUACUCCCAUCUGGUUGUGCUCGGUGAAGUAGUGCUACCCUUCUGUUAAAAAAAAAAAAAAAAAAAAGAUCCUGAAAGAGGAAAGAAUUUUUGCUACACAUCUGAAAGCUAAAGUCCAGGUGAUGCCUUGAUUACCUAGCUUUGGCUUCUCUGAACUCUGCUUCUCUGAUAGAGGAAACCUGAAGAGAACUAGCAUUUCUGAAACCAUGGCCCGGGUGAGUUGAUGUCUCUUUUGCUUUUCUGACUUAUUGUGAUUUUUUAAUUCAUGUAAUAUUUUCAUUUUUUUAAUCCUGAAACCUCCUAUCUCAGAAAGCUCUCUCUUGGAACCUAUUUCACAUUCCUCCCAUUCCAG